rnacentral:rRNA from 1 species
GACGAACCGUACGAACGUUAUUCGGAAUUACUGGGCUUAAAGGGUGCGUAGGCUGCGCAGUAAGUUGGGUGUGAAAUCCCUCGCUUAACCGAGGAACUGCGCCCAAAACUACUGUGCUCGAGGGAGACAGAGGUGAGCGGAACUUAGGGUGGAGCGGUGAAAUGCGUUGAUAUCCUAAGGAACACCUGUGGCGAAAGCGGCUCACUGGGUCUCUUCUGACGCUGAGGCACGAAAGCUAGGGUAGCGAACGGG